rnacentral:ncRNA from 1 species
UAUCCUGUCUGAAUAUGGGGGGACCAUCCUCCAAGGCUAAAUACUACCUGASUGACCGAUAGUGAAGAAGUACCGUGAGGGAAAGGUGAAAAGAACCCCGGAAGGGGAGUGAAAUAGAACCUGAAACCGUGUGCCUACAACCGGUCGAAGCACUUUAUAUGUGUGACGACGUGCUUUUUGUAGAACGAGCCAACGAGUUACGAUAUGUAGCGAGGUUAAGUACUUAAGGUACGGAGCCGAAGGGAAACCGAGUCUGAAUAGGGCGCAUAGUUGCAUGUCGUAGACCCGAAACCGGGUGACCUAUCCAUGGCCAGGAUGAAGCGACAGUAAAAUGUCGUGGAGGUCCGAACCACGUUGGUGUUGAAAAACCAUGGGAUGAGCUGUGGAUAGCGGAGAAAUUCCAAUCGAACUCGGAGAUAGCUGGUUCUCCUCGAAAUAGCUUUAGGGCUAGCGUCGGUUAAUUGAGUAAUGGAGGUAGAGCACUGAAUAGGCUUA